rnacentral:SRP_RNA from 1 species
GCUGGGCGUGGUGGCGCAUGCCUGUAAUCCCAGCUACUUGGUAGGCUGAGGCAGGAGAAUUGCUUGAACCCAGGAGGCGGAGGUUGCAGUGAGGCGAGAUCGUGCCACUGCACUCCAGCCUGGGUAACAGAGUGAGACUCUGUCUCAA